rnacentral:rRNA from 1 species
UACGUAGGGUGCGAGCGUUGUCCGGAAUUACUGGGCGUAAAGAGCUCGUAGGUGGUGUGUCGGGUUGGUCGUGAAAACCGGGGGCUUAACCCUCGGCGUGCGGGCGAUACGGGCAGACUUGAGUACUGCAGGGGAGACUGGAAUUCCUGGUGUAGCGGUGGAAUGCGCAGAUAUCGAUAGGAACUCCGGUGGCGAAGGCGGCAUACUGGUCCACUUCUGACGCUGAGGCGCGAAAGCCAGGGGAGCAAACGGG